UGCAUGGAGCCGACCUUGAAAUACCACCCUUUAAUGUUUGAUGUUCUAACGUUGACCCGUGAUCCGGGUUGCGGACAGUGUCUGGUGGGUAGUUUGACUGGGGCGGUCUCCUCCUAAAGAGUAACGGAGGAGCACGAAGGUUGGCUAAUCCUGGUCGGACAUCAGGAGGUUAGUGCAAUGGCAUAAGCCAGCUUGACUGCGAGCGUGACGGCGCGAGCAGGUGCGAAAGCAGGUCAUAGUGAUCCGGUGGUUCUGAAUGGAAGGGCCAUCGCUCAACGGAUAAAAGGUACUCCGGGGAUAACAGGCUGAUACCGCCCAAGAGUUCAUAUCGACGGCGGUGUUUGGCACCUCGAUGUCGGCUCAUCACAUCCUGGGGCUGAAGUAGGUCCCAAGGGUAUGGCUGUUCGCCAUUUAAAGUGGUACGCGAGCUGGGUUUAGAACGUCGUGAGACAGUUCGGUCCCUAUCUGCCGUGGGCGCUGGAGAAUUGAGGGGGGCUGCUCCUAGUACGAGAGGACCGGAGUGGACGCAUCACUGGUGUUCGGAUUGUCAUGCCAAUGGCACUGCCCGGUAGCUAAAUGCGGAAGAGAUAAGUGCUGAAAGCAUCUAAGCACGAAACUUGCCCCGAGAUGAGUUCUCCCUGACUCCUUGAGAGUCC
rnacentral:rRNA from 1 species